UACGUAGGGGCCUAGCGUUGUCCGGAUUUAUUGGGCGUAAAGAGCGUGUAGGCGGCCUGAAAGGUCAGCUGUGAAAACUCGAGGCUUAACCUCGAGACGUCGGUUGAAACCAUCUGGCUAGAGUCCGGAAGAGGAGUGUGGAAUUCCCGGUGUAGCGGUGAAAUGCGCAGAUAUCGGGAAGAACACCCGUGGCGAAGGCGGCACUCUGGGACGGUACUGACGCUGAGACGCGAAAAGCGUGGGGAGCGAACAGG
rnacentral:rRNA from 1 species